ACGAGGAGGACCCCAGACUGUCCCCCGAUUGCCCCGUCGACGAUGUUGUCUACCGCUACGCAUCGGACACGUUCUGCAUACUGAGCAUGAGGCGAGACCUAUGGAUUUACAGCGCGGAGCGAUUGCACGACGGCGGCGUUUCCUUUCACCGGACUUUGGUGGUGAGAGGACCAGAUUUCUUGGGGGCCCCCCUGGGCCGUUACAUCGUCGCCGCGGGAGGAGAGGACUUGAUGAUUGUCUGGCCCAGGCGCAGUCUCACCAGACGGGGCAAUGCGAGUUUCCAGCUGUACAUCCUUCAGAGAGAUUCGCCGACGAGCUGGUCGUGGCGCCUCCAGAGCGACCCUACAGGUUUCAUUGUGUUCGUCGGCCGUGGCUGCUCGACGGCCUACCGCGCAGCUGCCGGCAAGCCAACUGUUCUACACUUCAUCGACGGCCUUGGUAGCCCCAGCCGUAUCUACCGGCGCCAUGACAGCCGGCAGAGACCGUUCGUGAGUUAUGCCGACCAGGUGAUCGAGAGGAUGCUGCCCGCGGCGAGUAUCGUUCAGUCCCCAGAUGUCUGGCUGCUCUGUCCCGGAUAUGGGGACAGCGAGUGAUUUUUUUUGUUCGUGACAAUGUUCAAGCUUAACGAAUUUUUUAGUUGGAAUUGUCGUCUAAUUUUUCUUUAAUCCUGUGUAUGGAGAAUGCCCCAUGGAGAGAUUGGUUCGAGUUGGAUGAUUUUGUUGAAAAUUGGUACAUUAAUUUCGGUUCGAAUUUUGCUAUCUGAAACUUGCUGAAUUUCCCCCCCCAAUUUCAGUACAGCCCUUCAGUUUCAGACUUGUUGCAAUGUUGUGCGAUUUCAUUGGAUCCGGCCGCGGCCGCGAUGGCGGCCGUCGUCUGCCAUCUCCCGCGGUGAUAUGUUGCUACUACAUCAAUUUCUGUGUAAAAUUUGCUGAAUUUCCCCUCUUUUCAGUACAUAGAGCUUCAGGCUUCUUCGCGGUGUUGUGGAUUUCAGUGGAUCCGGCCGUCCUUCUCCCGCCGUCCCCAAAUAUAGUCCGUAGCUCUCUUCCAGACAUGGCUUGAUUGGGAGCCUGCUCCAGCCUCGACCCUCCAGCAGUCGGGCGAGCUGCCUCGCCCUGCCCCCUCCGCCCUUUCCACUCCAUCGCGCUCCCGGCGGCGAAAACCACUGCCACUCCCUACUGGCUUCAGCUACCGGCGGGUUCAAAGUCUCUGAUCAACUAGUUACAUCAACGCGGGAAGGUUGCUGAUCUCCGUUGGGUUUGAUCUGGCGUAAUAUCCUGGUCCGCGAUUGGUUGAUUCGGAGGAAGGCAGCAGCGGUCUAGUUCAAACUCGGUACAGUCCAGAAGGUGCCCACCAUCUGUUUGAGAAAAUGUCUGUGUGGCAGAAUUCAACUACGAGCUGCGUUCUGUGCGUCACCAUCACUCUACUGAUCUACCCUGGUACUGAGUUUGUAGCUGCACACAUGACUGAAGGGGGACUAUUGGGUUCAUCAACAAGGGUCGUGGCUGUUGAGGAAAUCAGAUGGUUUGCUGCCAGAAAAUGUGUGCAUCACUUUGGGAACAAGGUCAUUCUUCUGCAGAUCGGAAAUAUGGACAAUUAAGCAGACAUAUAUUGUUCCUUUAGUACAAGAUUGUUGUCUUAAGUCUGAUGAUACUUUUUCUGCAAGUGGAUGUUUAUAUCACGCACAUGCUCGUGUUCGUUUGUCUGAUGCACUAGGAGCUACACCAUUUGACAUUGCUUUUCAGGUUGAAUGGCUCAUAUGCAGUUUGGGAAAACUGAAUUACAUAACUACUAGGUGUUCAUUUGGGGUGGAAAAGGGAAGGAUAAUUUCUGCAACUCUGUUUGAACAAUGGGAUCCAGGAAUAAAUCUUCUAUGUUGGUGCAUGUUGCUGUCCCAGUGCUUCAAGGAGUAUUUUAUAGCUACUGUGCCGCAGCUUAAGAUGUUUUUCAGCUUGAUUGCACAAUGGGAUUUGUCUAAAUAUUCAUGUGAGACUAAUCCUAUGAUGCUUGCGCUCAUGAAGUCUAAGGUGCAGCACUUGGCUCACAGGUUAUGCAAACCAUGGGAUCCUGGAGUUUUAAUUUUUUCCUGUUGGGUAAUGAAGGGCAAACUCUUUAAAAGAAACACCAGCUUGUAUUCUAUGAAGAACCAGUUGAUUGAUCCAUUCCUUCAGGAUGAUGGCAAAACAGUUCUUGGGGUUGAGCUUUAUGUGCAAUGGGACACGAGAAUUAUGAAGAGUACUGGUAUAAAUGCAAUUUCAGGUUUCAGAAAACUGUCAGUUACACAAGGUAUAAAUUUCAGUGUUGCAUCUCAGAUGAUGGAUGUGGAGCAUAAAUAUCUUUUACAUGAUGCUCCUUGGGCAUUUUCUCAACGAUGUUCUCGCUGCUUGUCAAUCUGGAAGUUAUGCACUCACAUCAGUACAUACAAGCAUGGUCAAUGGAAUUGACACAAAACUUAAGAUGCCGUGCAACACUGGAAUUUUUGUACCUAUUUCUGCUAGGCUAUCUCCAGCAAGAAAUCUUACGCUCAUUGCAAUCCAUGUAAAAGCAGUGUUCUGUACCAUUAGUUCUCGAUUUGUGGAAGUUAAUUGGGUGAUACAAGCUUGGAAAGAAGUGAAGUUACCAUGGGGGCUUAUACAUAAAGGUUACAUCAGUCCAGUGAGGAUGAUGUGCUCUUGGCUAUCACUUACUAUCUUUCAGGCUGUAGUUAACAAAGAGUGAUGAUGAUCCUACUGCCAACAACUUCAGUUUUGUCAAGCACUAAAACAGCACAUCUGAGAUUCAAAAAAUCAUGGGCCACCAUGCUGCAGCCUACUACUUUCGAAAGUACACUAUAUAAUGGUGAUAUGAUCGAGAGAAUGUUGUUGAGGAUACAUGAAAUGGCCCAUCUGUCAGCUGGCACUACAUUUGGCACAUUGUUCCACUAUUCAGCUGACGCCACUUCUCCUAAGGUGUUCAGCACAUUCUCGAAGCUGCUUAGAAACAAGCAUCCAACAUUAUCAUGGGACCCACGUAACCUGGAUACAUGACUAUUUGCUCAUUCCGACACUGAUACAUGUGAUCCUAGUGGUGUUUGUCGAAGCGGCUUGAGGGCAAGCCGGAAUUUAAGGGGGCGAGAAUGUCAUGCCUGGCUUGUAACAGGAUGCGCCUUGCCAACGUGGGCCCUAAGCAACAUGUGUUGGGCCUGGUGGACAAAACUGGCAGCACAUAUAGCAGGGUUUCCCUAUCCUACGCUUGACGCGAAGGAGAUCGCGCUGACACGUCGAGGACAGUCCCGCCUGGGCCGGCCCAAUUCCGUCGCAUCUCCUUUCCGCUCGGUCUGGUCUGACCCGGUUUUGCUUUCAGUUACCAGGAUCAACAUAGUUGUGUAUCUCUAUCUCUGCUCCAAGGAUACGAGGCCAGUUCAAUGGGGAAGGAUGGGUCAGACAGAAGCAGCGGCCGGAAUCCGUGCCUGAGGUUUGUCUCCGUCGUUGGCUGCAUCGGUAUCGCCAUAUGCAAGUGAUUCUUCUCCAUCAUUUCUGAUUUAUUUUCCCGUGAUUUUAAGGUUAGUGAAUCAUCUUCUGGAUAAAAUCAGAUUGUGGGGGAUUUAGGAUUUGCGAUAUGUAUCGGUUUUUCGUUGUGCUUCCUCACUGGUUGGAGUUUCUUCUUCCAUCCAGGGAUUUGAUGUCUUUGAACAGUCAAUAGAUGGCUGUUGUGCUUCCUUCAGCUGGUUGGAGGAAAUCAGAUUGUAGCUAUUUGAUACUGUAGUGAAAUGAAUUUAGAACU